GACGAACGCUGGCGGCGUGCUUAACACAUGCAAGUCGAACGGAAAGACCCUGCUUUUGUGGGGUGCUCGAGUGGCGAACGGGUGAGUAACACGUGAGUAACCUGCCCUUGACUUUGGGAUAACUUCAGGAAACUGGAGCUAAUACCGGAUAGGAGCUCCUGCUGCAUGGUGGGGGUUGGAAAGUUUCGGCGGUUGGGGAUGGACUCGCGGCUUAUCAGCUUGUUGGUGGGGUAGUGGCUUACCAAGGCUUUGACGGGUAGCCGGCCUGAGAGGGUGACCGGCCACAUUGGGACUGAGAUACGGCCCAGACUCCUACGGGAGGCAGCAGUGGGGAAUAUUGCACAAUGGGCGGAAGCCUGAUGCAGCAACGCCGCGUGCGGGAUGACGGCCUUCGGGUUGUAAACCGCUUUCGCCUGUGACGAAGCGUGAGUGACGGUAAUGGGUAAAGAAGCACCGGCUAACUACGUG
rnacentral:rRNA from 1 species